rnacentral:rRNA from 1 species
CGCGUAGGCGGUUUGUUAAGUCGGAUGUGAAAGCCCUGGGCUCAACCUGGGAACUGCAUUCGAUACUGGCCGACUAGAGUACGAGAGAGGGAGGUAGAAUUCCACGUGUAGCGGUGAAAUGCGUAGAUAUGUGGAGGAAUACCGGUGGCGAAGGCGGCCUCCUGGCUCGAUACUGACGCUGAGGUGCGAAGGCGUGGGGAGCAAACAGGAUUAGAUACCCUGGUAGUCC